ensembl:lncRNA
GGGGGGCAGGGAAGCAGAGCCAUUGCCCUGGCAACGCCCACUUCGCAUUAGCCACUCUCGCGAGAGCCUCCGGGCUGCUCUGUUACCUCGGGAUUCCAUGGUGAAGCAACUGAUCGAAACCCACCUGUACCUCGCGGUCAGUUGCUGCGACUGUGGUCGGGACAGCUCUGAAGCAGCGAACCUCGUCGAUCGAGGGAAGAUGAUCCCCGAGAAAAUGUCUUAUUCAGGACUGCAAACAGUUUUUUACACAAGUUCCGCCACCCCCUCUGCCCUGAAAAAAAGAAAAAAAAGAAGUUCUAGAGAGGGAUAUCUUCGAUGUCACCCUGUCAAGAAAUUUCCUGAAGAGUUCAAAGUCUGCUCUCCUGAAGUACAGAGUAGCAAGUUUGAGACCCUGAGGAUUUUGAACUCCACGAUUAUCAACACCGUUUUGGUCACCAAUGUAAAACACAG